UUAUGCGGAAAUGAAAUUGAAUGUUACUUCGAACACGUUCUUCUACAAAAUAACCGACCUGUAUUUAGUGCUAUUGCUUUAACAUCAAUCGCAGCAAAAAUAGCAUCAAUGUAUGCGUCUAAAAAUGUUAAAUUUAGAUGGAGACAAUCCAGAAAUGAGCUGCCAGGAAGUGAUCGAUUUCGGACACGAAGGCCGACGGAGGCACUCUUGCCGUUUACCGCUGCCACCAGUAAAGUUAACCUAGGAGGAAAAGUGCGCCCGGUGUGGGGCUCGAACCCACGACCGCCGGAACACUAGCACGGCGCUCUAACCAACUGAGCUAACCGGGCGGCUGGUUCUUACCCACACACACUACAGAGCAAACAGAUUUUAGGCUUAAAAAUUGAGAAGUGCCUGGAUACAAGGCUAGUAUUGUUAACAUCAUCUGAUACAAUCAACUAGAACAAAGCUGAAAUGGCUGCCUGACCUGACUUAAAAAUUGGAUGGCAGUACAUCAGACUAGAAGAUUACAAGUAUUGAGGUGGACAAAAUGAAACCUGAGCCUACCAAAGCUGACAGAUUGCACAAGAAACACAUAAAUGCAGAUUGGAAGAUUCAUUCUCUGGAAAGUAGAAAAGGGCAUGUUACAUACUGUUAUCACUGCCAUGACAGAAACCAUAUUGAGGAGCUGGUCCACCUGUAGGAAGAAUUGCACUAUUGGUUGGAGCAGCACUAUUACCCAGCCAUACACCAGCACUUAGUUUGUCAUAGGGAGCAUUUCUGAGCAUAUGGAGACCACUAACUAUGCAGAUAUGUCAUAAUCAAAAUCUUGGUUUAUAUAUUUUUUUAUAAUUUAGCAUCUGUUGAGAAGAAAUUUAUUUCUAGAUUGAAGGCACACACUAUAGAUUGAUGCCCAAAAAUAUAUUUCUUAUUUUAAUGCAUUAUCAUGUCUAACUCAUUUGACUUAAAUGAUCAAAGCAAAAGAAAUGCAAAUGAUUAAUCUGCAGAUAUACAAAUGUAAGCUUUUUUAACUGGGGAAAUUGUUGCCACUUGUCUAUUAAUUAAAGAACACAUUUAUAAUUAAUAAUGUUUAAUCUGUACACAAAUCAUGUGCCUUCUUUGUUUUAACCAUCAAUGUCAAAGAGUCCAGCAUGAUAAUGCAUUAAAUUGAAAAAAUGCAUUAAUUUAUAUGAACCCUUUAAAACAAAGACAUUUCCUAAAUCCAAUAAAAAAUAAUUGAAUAUUGAUGCAGAGUUCAGUAAGAAUAUAAUAUAACUUUUUUUGCAGUUGUUGCAGUGAAACUUGCACCAGUGUGUUUUCUGUGGAGAUAAAGAGAUAGUGUCCAGCAAUGAAGACCCAACUCAAGAUCUGACCUUGUAAGGCCAAUAUGAAAUAACUGUGUGGGAAAAUGGGAAAAACCUGCAGUCAGGAAUGCACGGAAAUCAUCAAAAGAACAGUGUUAAAUUAAUCUUGAAUAACUUGACAUUUAUUUUGUUUGACAUAGUUAUUCAUGGUGCAGUGAAAACAUUCUUUUUUUCUCAUGGUUAUUUAAAUUUAGAAUUGAUAGGAGGGAACAUCACUAUGUAGUUUCAUGUUCAUAGUCAGAUCAAAACCCAUGUACAUGCCCAAAUGAGCAUUUGAAAAUAUCAAAAUGGUACUUGUUGUAUGUAGUGUAAGUUAAUUAACAUAAUAAACAAAAAU